AGAAACAGCGGCUUUGGAAUUGGAUCCAAUUUGUGUCUGAUUAUAUUUGAUUCUACUGCUCAUUCAUAGAGAGACAAAGCGUAGAGAGCGAAACUGAGAAAUGUCUGGAGGUAUAGCGCGUGGCCGUCUUGCCGAGGAGCGAAAAGCCUGGCGGAAGAAUCACCCUCAUGGUUUCGUUGCCAAACCAGAGACUCUACCCGAUGGUUCGGUGAAUCUGAUGGUAUGGCUGUGCACAAUCCCUGGUAAGGCCGGGACUGAUUGGGAGGGUGGUUACUACCCACUUGCACUCCAUUUUAGUGAAGAUUAUCCUAGCAAACCACCAAAGUGUAAAUUCCCCCCUGGUUUCUUCCACCCUAAUGUCUACCCAUCUGGAACUGUUUGUCUGUCAAUUCUCAAUGAGGACAGUGGAUGGAGACCAGCCAUCACGGUGAAGCAAAUUCUUGUUGGCAUACAGGAUUUGCUGGACCAGCCCAACCCCUCGGAUCCUGCACAGACUGAAGGAUAUCAUCUCUUCAUUCAGUGUGGUGAAAUAUGAUUAUUAGUGGCCUGAUGAACUGUAAGAACAGUUUGCCUGCGAUCAGAUAUUUCUCCGGUGGCCACAUUCAGCCAUGCAAAGCCUGCUGCUUGAUUUUUAAAGGAUGCUGUGGAGUACAAGAAUAGGGUCCGGCUGCAGGCCAAACAAUACCCACCUCUCAUCUGAAUAUUGAUACUGGUUCGAUUGAAAUUGUUGGUGUUUUGGAAAUGAUCAAGCUGCCCUUGUGUAAACUGCAUUAGACCGUAUAAAAUACUUCUCUGGUUUUGAAUAGUCUUCUGUUUAUAUAUGAUGCUCAUUGGAGAUAAACUUGAUCUCAAUUCAUAACAGGAUGUUCGUUUCAUGAUUACUUAUAAAAUAUAAAAAUGGCGUCUGUAUAAUAUGCCAAUGUACCUCCCCUUCAAAGAGUAGCAGCAUAAAUUUGUGAUAUUAAAGCAGGAAUGAGAAUCACCUAGUGGAGCAUUUGAAGUUA